rnacentral:lncRNA from 1 species
UUCUUUUGACGAGUCAUUUUUCAUUAGCCCCCUUCAAUUCUAGUCAUGCUAUCCAUCCCCUUUUUGAACAGCUCUGGCCGUCAGUGAAGCGCAGAUUGUUUGCGACUGAUGCCAAUCGUGCCUUUUAUUCACUGGACCAGCCGAGCAUUUCUUCUCCUCCUCCUGUUUUAGUCACUCCUUUGUCCAUCCGGAGUCCUUCUCCUCUUCGUCGCGCUAAACAGUCUGCUCGUCCAUUUUCU